GGCAGGUUCGCUUCGCCUUGCCUUUCGCGGUGGACUUUUUGGGUGAGUCAGCGGCCCGCACACGCCGGUCCAUUAAUAAAACUUUCGCCAUCAAUGAAAGUUGGCGCAGUGUUAUCAGGCGAGCCAUCAGCGGGUGUGGUGAUACCAGUGGCACGCCUGGCCGCAACACGCCUACCAGCCCACACCCGCAGGCCUGCUCACCGCCACGCCACGCCUUUACCUCCACCUCAAACUACCCGUAUCUACCCAUUCCAUCGGCAACAUUUACUAUUAGCCUGGUCCACCCAUACACACCUGAAGGCCCCGUGUCUAUGCCUCCACACCACUGCUCCUCCCUUUAGACACUACAACAAGGAAUGCUAACGUGCUGAGGUGCCACAUUAAACGGAGGAAAAGAACGUAGGGGGCAGGGGGCGGCGAGGGAAUGGAGUGCAAUAAGCCCCCCUCUGCGGUAAUGCAGCGAACUGCAAACACUCCAAAAGCACACUCCAUGUAUUCGAUCACUGCAUAUCAUGAGUCUCGGAGUGGCAAGGGAGUGGCGCCCUGCCCAGCGAGGUGGUCCUACCCGCCACGCUGGACACACGGAGGGAGUGGGCAAGAGACUGCAGGGAACCGGACCAUGGCGGAGCACGUGUAUACUCACUGCCUCAUUAAUACCUUAAAUCUACCGUGUUGAGAGGACACAAGAGGAAAAAUCCAAUUUUAGCCAUACUGUUACUGUUAUCGCUCAAAUAACCAUGCAGAAAUAUUUCAUGAUGUUACGAAUAUCAUUUUCCACUGGGAUUUCUGUCUGUAUUUAAUUAUAUAACAAAUUGUAAUGAAAUUCGUCACAAACUAGUACCAAGAUAAAAAGAAAAGGUAGUGGACACUUUCUUUCAUAUUUAAAAGUAGCAUGUUGACGUGUGACAGUGCUGCCCCAGAAUGACGUGCGGCGGACGAGCGGGCGGCAGACAGGUGAGGGCAGGCUGGCCGAUGUAUGAGGGUGUAGGCGAGGGGGUUACGUGACCAGUCAAGUGCUCGUACAGUCCACCUCUCCCAAGCCAUACCAGUCUUUCUUCCCCCUCCCGCCCCGUCCUGCGCCCCAUCACAUUUUGCCUGCCCCUCCCGCCCCUCCCGCCCCGUCCUGUUCCCCA